ensembl:snRNA U6 U6 spliceosomal RNA
CCUAUAUAUUCAGACAAGGUUCUUAAAUAUAUGUAACGAUACAGAGAAGAUUAACAUGGCCCCUGCACAAGGAUGACACGCAAAUUCGUGAAGCGUUCCUUCUUUUA